AUACGGAGGAUCCGAGCGUUAUCCGGAUUUAUUGGGUUUAAAGGGUGCGUAGGUGGUUUGAUAAGUCAGCGGUGAAAGUUUGCAGCUUAACUGUAAAAAUGCCGUUGAAACUGUCGGACUUGAGUGUAAAUGAGGUAGGCGGAAUGCGUGGUGUAGCGGUGAAAUGCAUAGAUAUCACGCAGAACUCCGAUUGCGAAGGCAGCUUACUAAGCUACAACUGACACUGAAGCACGAAAGCGUGGGGAUCAAACAGGAUUAGAUACCCUGGUAGUCCACGUAGUAAACGAUGAUUACUAGCUGUUUGCGAUACACAGUAAGCGGCACAGCGAAAGCGUUAAGUAAUCCACCUGGGGAGUACGCCGGCAACGGUGAAACUCAAAUGAAUUGACGGGG
rnacentral:rRNA from 1 species